rnacentral:lncRNA from 1 species
ACUCGCGACUCGUUUCGAUCGUCCAAUCGCCGUUUCCGACUUCGAAUUUUGAUUUCGGCAUUUUAUUUAAGUCAUUAAUGUAUAUUUUAUUUUAUGACUUAAUAAGUAUCUUAAUACCCUUAGAACUCAUUCUAACGUCUCAUAUUAAUGAUCGAAACAUUUCUAGAAUCAACCAUAUCGGGUUACGGCAAAUUGGCCGGGUGCGACCAAAAGCCCCGUCUAACGCCGGUAUCGGGUAGAAUUUCAUCGUCUCCAAAUCCCGAACACUAUUGAAAGUGUUCUAAGACUUCAUUUUGAAGCUUUUGCUUCAUUCUACAACUAUCACCCCAACCUCACUCGUCAAACUAGAAUUAAAGGUCCAAAUCUCAAGUUUAAGGCUUCAAAUCUUUGAGGUAACUUCCCUAGCAUGCUAUACAACCUCUUUAGCCUUCAAAUUCGAGUAUAAUCUAUGGAUUAGGACCAUUAUCAUGUGUUUACGGCCCUAGAACUAUCCUAGGCCGUAAACUCAUAUUAAUGGGGUUUUUGGAGCAACAAAACCCUUCCAAACCACAAUUAGACCUUAGAUAUGGCUAGAUGACUUUAUGGAAUGAGUUUAGAAUGCCUUGAAACAUAAUAUAGACCCUUGUUUAAGAGUUUACGGCCCUGGAAGGUGUCUAGGCCGUAAACACUAAUUUAGAGGGGUUUUAAGCCCUUAAACCCUUCCAUGGCUCAAACAAGACUUAGAUACGACUUUUAGAAUAUUGGUUAUGGACCUAGAACACUUGAAACAUGAAAUUUGAGGGGAUUUUAUGAGUUUACGGCCAAGGCAUGUGCUUGGGCCGUAAACUCCUCAAAUAUGGGUGUAAACUCACUUCUAAGGUGUUAGAAAGCCAUCCAACACCACCAAAAGCCUUGUAUUAAAUCCUAGAACCAUCUAAAAAUAGUUUGGGGACCUUAAACACAUCAAAUACCCUACAUAUGAGAGUUUACGGCUAUAGAACAUGCUCCUGGGCCGUAAAUUCAUAACAAGGCUUGGAAAAUUAACAAGAAUCACAUGUGAUUGUCCCGUAUACCUCAAAUUAGUUAUUCUUGACCAUAGUAGAGUUUACGGCCGUAAAUUCCAAGUUUAGGGACGUAAACUCCCUUUUGAAUGGCAUAAGUUCAAAAAAUCCAUUCCAAGGCAUUUUAGAAAUCCAUUCCAACAAUCCCCAUGUCCAAACAAGCCAUUAAGCACUCAAAAUCACACCAACAUGAGUUUACGGCCGUAAACUCAUGUGUGUAUGUGUUUUGUGGUUGUAAGCUCCCUUAAAUGUUUACUCUUGGGGAGUAAACUCAAAUUCCAAGUCCUUAGUGCCAUUACACGUCCAUAGAUGUCACCCGGGUCACUCCAAACACUCGUUUUGAGGUGUUUAAUCUCAUUGGAGUGUAAUGUCCCAUAUAGUUAGUGAUUGUAAAUCUAAUUAGAUAUAUAUGGACAUUAUUUCAUUUUACAUAGGGACGUUGCGAGUAAACAAGCCCCGAACCAACGUUUAGUAUCCGAAAUCGUCACAUUUCCGAGUCCGGUGAGUUCAUACCCCUACCCUUUUUAUGUGUUUUCAAUGGUUUUCAAUGUUUUCAGAGGGGGAAUACAAGCAAAAAGUACAAGUGUAUUUUAUACUUAAACUGAUUUACAACUUAAUGGUUUUACUUAUUAAAUGCCUUGAUUUCCAAAGUUUGUGAUAACUGACAUUUCAAAUUGCAGGUNCAAAAAGUACAAGUGUAUUUUGUACUUAAACUGAUUUACAACUCAAUGGUUUUACUUAUUAAAUGCCUUGAUUUCCAAAGUUUAUGAUAACUGACAUUUCAAAUUGCAGGUUAAAUAUAAAUUUCUUUUAAAAAAGUGUUGUAACUAUAUUCUCUUUGUAUAAGAAAUCAUAUUGAUCAUAUCUAAGGUCAAUACGAAUAUAACCUGCUAGGAAUACAAAUAUGAGUACGAGUACGAAUUCGAAUACUAAUAGGAAUACGAAUACAAAUACAAGUACGAAUAUGAAUUCGAGUACUAAUAGG